AUUGAACGCUGGCGGCAUGCCUUACACAUGCAAGUCGAACGGCAGCAUGGAGAGCUUGCUCUCUGAUGGCGAGUGGCGAACGGGUGAGUAAUGCAUCGGAACGUACCGUGUAAUGGGGGAUAACGUAGCGAAAGUUACGCUAAUACCGCAUACGACCUGAGGGUGAAAGCAGGGGAUCGCAAGACCUUGCGUUAUCCGAGCGGCCGAUGUCAGAUGAGCUAGUUGGUGGGGUAAAGGCUCACCAAGGCGACGAUCUGUAGCGGGUCUGAGAGGAUGAUCCGCCACACUGGGACUGAGACACGGCCCAUACUCCGACGGGAGGCAGCAGUGGGGAAUUUUGGACAAUGGGGGCAACCCUGAUCCAGCCAUGCCGCGUGAGUGAAGAAGGCCUUCGGGUUGUAAAGCUCUUUCGGCCGGGAAGAAAUCGCACAGGCUAAUACUCUGUGUGGAUGACGGUACCGGCAUAAGAAGCACCGGCUAACUACGUGCCAGCCGCCGCGGUAA
rnacentral:rRNA from 1 species